rnacentral:rRNA from 1 species
CCUACGGGUGGCAGCAGUGAGGAAUAUUGGUCAAUGGGCGGAAGCCUGAACCAGCCAAGUAGCGUGCAGGAUGACGGCCCUACGGGUUGUAAACUGCUUUUAUACGGGAAUAACGCGCCUUACGUGUAGGGCUUUGCAUGUACCGUAUGAAUAAGGACCGGCUAAUUCCGUGCCAGCAGCCGCGGUAAUACGGAAGGUCCGGGCGUUAUCCGGCUUUAUUGGGUUUAAAGGGAGCGUAGGCGGGAGGUCAAGGGUGCUGUGAAAGGUUCGGGCUCAACCCGGGCCUUGCAGUGCGUACUGGCGUGCGUGAGUCCGCGGAAGGCAGGCGGAAUUCGUCGUGUAGCGGUGAAAUGCUUAGAUAUGACGAAGAACCCCGAUUGCGAAGGCAGCUUGCUGCAGCGGAACUGACGCUGAUGCUCGAAAGCGCGGGUAUCGAACAGGAUUAGAUACCCGAGUAGUC